rnacentral:lncRNA from 1 species
UAAAAUAUGCCAAAAACAAGAAAAAUGGCAAGACGCCUCCGCCUGAGGCAGCAGGAUCUUGGCCUAUUAUUGGUCACCUACAUCUUCUUGGUGGAGCAAAGCGGCUACUGCACCGAACAUUUGGGUCCAUGGCCGAUGAGCUUGGGCCAAUUUUCUCUCUACGUCUCGGAAUUCAUCGAGCACUUGUAGUGAGCAACUGGGAAGUAGCAAAGGAAUGUUUCACAACAAAUGACAAGGUCUUUCCUACGCGUCCAAAAUCCAUGGCAGUGAAAAUCAUGGGCUAUGAUCAUGCCAUGCUUGGCUUUGUACCGUAUGGGCAGUACUGGCGUGACUUGAGGAAGCUAGCCGUGGUUGAACUCCUCUCAAACCGCCGGCUUGAGUUGCUCAGGCAUGUCAGAGAUACAGAAACUAACUUCUUUAUGAAAAAAUUGUAUCAGGAAGCGGCAAAGAAUGGUGGACAUAUUGUAGUAGAAAUGAAGGAAAGAUUUGGGGACUUGGCUGUGAACAUAAUAGCAAAAAUGAUUUCAGGGAAGCGAUACUUCAGUGGUAGUAAUGCAAUCAAAGAUGAAGAUUCAAGGCAGUUCUGUAAGGCUAUAAAGGAUUUCUUUUAUCUAGCCGGGUUGUUCUUGGCUUCUGAUAGCAUCCCAUUUCUGGGUUGGUUUUAUUUCGUCAAGGGAUACGUUGGUGAAAUGAAGAAGACAGCUAAAGAGCUGGAUGAAGUGUUAGAGAGGUGGCUAAAGGAGCAUAAAGAGAAGAGGCUCAAAGGAGUCAUCAAGGAGGAGGAGCAAGAUUUCAUCCAUGUUAUGCUUUCUCUCAUGGAUGAAGGCGAGAUCUCUGCUAAAGAAGCUGAUAAUAUCAUCAAAGGCACUUGCCUCGUCAGUAUUAGUUUUUAACUCAAAAUUAGUAACUGUGGCACUCUUACAUGAAUAAUUGAUUUAGAAUUCAAAUUGAAUGCAGAGUCUUAUUUUAGGGAGCAAUGAUACCACUGUGGCAACUCUUACAUGGGCACUAUCUCUGCUGUUAAACAACCCCGGAAUUCUUAAAAAAGCUCAAGAUGAGCUUGACAUCCAAGUAGGGAAGCACCAACAAGUGGAGGAGCCACAUGUAAAGAAUCUAGCAUACUUGCAAGCUAUUGUCAAGGAAACAUUGAGACUGUACCCAGCCACUCCGGUCUCAGUACCAAGGGAAGCCAUGGAGGACUGCAUCAUAGCCAGCUUCCACAUCCCAGCAGGCACACGACUUUAUCUUAACCUGUGGAAGUUGCACCGUGACCCCAGCAUUUGGACAAAUCCUUUGGAGUUUCAGCCUGAGAGGUUCCUGAAUGAGCAUGCUAGUUUAGAUGUGAGGGGUCGGGAUUUUGAAUACUUGCCAUUUGGAUCUGGUAGAAGAAUGUGUCCAGGAGUAUCGUUUGCUGUUCAGGUUCUGAGCCUGACACUGGCUCGACUGCUUCAUGGUUUUGAAUUGAUGAGUGUAUCUGAUAGUCCAGUUGAUAUGAGUGAGAGUCCUGGAGUAAUAUGCCAUAAAGCGACGCCGUUGGAGGUUGCCUUCACCCCAAGAUUACCUUUUAUUCUCUAUGAAGGUUGAGUAGCAAUGGAAUCUAGACACGUCAGCUUGUAGCAGGAAAGCAUCUGCACUGAAAAACCUUUGUUCUUCAGCAGACAUGAACACAGAUUUAAGAUAGAAGUAACCUAAAUCACUAAUAAUUAAUAAUUAUAUUUGCAUUGCAUUGCAAUUAAUUUAAAAAAUAAAAAUUUUAUAUAAUUUAUUUAAUUUUUUUUAUAAAAUAAAUCAUGCUAAAUAAAAAGAAAAUACAGAGGCCUUAAUUUUUUUUUUCCAAAAAAAAGAUGCAUUGAUCGACCAGGACAAAGAAAAAAAUUACAAAUUUUAUCAAAGGAUUAUGGAAAAAAAACUAAUUAAGCAUUCCUUAAUUAAAAAAUGAGUAACUUAAUUUGUUUCUUUUCCUAUUUCCAUGGUAGAAAUUAAUAGAAUAACACUUAACGGCUAGUGGAAUAGAAUCUGCAAGGCCUUAAAUUGGCUUAUUAAAAAUUAUUUUAUUUAACUAAAAUAAAAAAUCAUUUUAAUUUUGAAACUGAAGAAAAAAAAAAAAGCUAGCGUUAAAAUGGUUGCUAGGUGGUCGGAGCUUAAAAAGAAAACAGCUUAAUUUCUUGUCCAGUGUGUUAAUUUCUUCAUCUUCUUUCUUCUUUUUCUUUUUCUUCUUCUUCCUAGUAGAUAUCAGACUUAAAAUGUGGUUAAGCCAUUUAUUUUAUUGAAAAUAUUUUAUUUAAAAAUAAUUCUUAUAUAUUUUGUACAUUGAGAACCGCUGAAUCUCGCUAUUCCGGUCUGAAACCUGACCCACGAUAAGAGCUCUUUAUCUGAAAACCCUUAAACCUUCCAAAUGAAUCAGGUCCAGCCCACUCAACUUUAAAAUCAGACUCUCUCUAAGUUUUUCAAUUAGGCCGGCCCAACUCUUUCGGUCCUAAGAGCAGACCUCCUUUGAGCUCCAGCCCUAAUCUCACUCUCCAGUCCAGCCCGGAAGAGAAAAGGUAGGCUUUGUGUUAAUAUGUUGAAUGUAUAUCUCGGUGGGUCCAUCCGCAUGCAUACCAGGAGAGAAUUAAAUAGCCGUUAUGCAUGAAACAGAUAUAUGAUAUUUUCGUACGUCCGUAUUAGUAUGGCAGAGACAGGUGGCCCAACAACAGUGAGGCCGAAUGAAAAUUUUAAAUUUAUUUUACAAAAAUAGUCAAUAAAUGUUGAGGUAAAAGUAAAGCUACUCAAAGUUAAGCUUUUAAAUUGUGUUCGAUUGAAAAAACAUUUUCUUGAAUUUAUAUUAGUAAUGUCUCACUUAAAAAUAUUUAAAAUUUUUUUUUUAGAGUUAACUUUUUAAAGUAAAUUAGUUAUAUUUUAUUAUUUAUAUUAUUUUUUUAUAAUAGUAUUUUAUUAUUUAAUAAGUAAAUAUAAAAAAUUAUUCUACUUAUCAUUUAGUAUUUAUAAUUACUAAUUAUAUUUUUUUAAUAUUUAUAUUCUUUUAUUUUUUUAUAAAUUUAUAAAUUUAUUAAUAUAUAAAUCCUCCUUAUUAUCACUUUUUGCUAUACGCAUCAAUUUAUUAUAUUCAUAAUAUAUUGUUAAUUAUCUGUGGUCUUUUAAAAUAUGUAAUUAAUUUAUUGGUUUAAAAAUAAGUUAUAUUUUCUAUUGUUAAUUUAUUGGAAAGAUAUUAAUUUUUAUUAAUUUGCUAUAAUUAUAUUAAUAUUUAACUAAUAUUUAUUUAUAUUUAUUUAUUAUUUUAUAUUUAAUAACUAAUCCUAUAUGUUUUUAUUUUAAAUUAUUAUAUAAAUAAUUAAUUAUUAAUAAUUAAUAUUUAACGGUUAAUAAUCGAUGAAAAUGAGUGGCUGUUAUUAAAAUAAUUAAUAAUUAUUUAAAUCACUAAUAUAGCUUAUAUAAGUAUUAUAAUUAUUAAAACAGAGAUAAUUUUGACCACAUGUAACGUUCUAGUAGCAUCCACUGGUUCAAUCAAAACAGAAAUGGGGACAUAAUUUUCACGAGUCCACAUUUGCAAGGCACCGACAAAUUAUUAAGAGUUUCUGAUGUUCCACUAUAUUAUCAGAAUAAAAAAAAUUACAACAAAUAAUUUAAAAAAUAAGAUUAUUUAUUAAAUUCACAUGAUAAUUAUUUAUUUCGAUAAUAAAUAUAUUUAAAUAAAUUUAAAAAAUUUUAAAUUUUAUUCUUUUAUUUUAAUUUUUAUUUAAAAAAAUAAUUAUAAUAUAUAAAAAUUGAAAUUAAAUUUAAAUUUAUUGAAUUUUAAAAUUUUUAAAUAGAUAUUAUUAAUUUAAUAUGCCAUUUGGUGAGAUGAUGUAUCUAAAACAUUCAAUAAUUUGUGGACACUUCCUAUUAAAAGGAAUCUUACAAAAAAAAAACAAAAAACAAAAAAAAAAAAAAAAACAAAAAGAAAAAGCUGGACAUUUUCUCUGGUGCAGCAAGAACCAUGACAUUAUUUUUCUGUAUCGAAGAAAUCGCUUUGCUUGCCCUUCUUCUUGCUUUUAUUCCGCUCUUCCUGGCUAUAAAAUAUGCCAAAAACAAGAAAAAUGGCAAGACACCUCCGCCUGAGGCAGCAGGAUCUUGGCCUAUUAUUGGUCACCUGCAUCUUCUUGGUGGAGCAAAGCAGCUACCGCACAGAACACUCGGGUGCUUGGCCGAUGAGCUUGGGCCAAUCUUCUCUAUACGUCUUGGAAUUCAUCGAGUACUUGUAGUGAGCAACUGGGAAGUAGCAAAGGAAUGUUUCACAAC